CCUACGGGAGGCUGCAGUAGGGAAUAUUGCUCAAUGGGGGAAACCCUGAAGCAGCAACGCCGCGUGGGGGAUGAAGGUUUUCGGAUUGUAAACCCCUUUUGUUAGAGAAGAUAAUGACGGUAUCUAACGAAUAAGCACUGGCUAACUCCGUGCCAGCAGCCGCGGUAACACGGAGGGUGCAAGCGUUACUCGGAAUCACUGGGCGUAAAGAGCGCGUAGGCGGGUUAGCAAGUCAGAUGUGAAAGCCUAGGGCUUAACCGUAGAACUGCAUUUGAAACUGGUAUACUAGAGUAUGGGAGAGGUAGGUGGAAUUCGUGGUGUAGGGGUGAAAUGCGUAGAGAUCAAGAGGAAUACUCAUUGCGAAGGCGACCUGCUAGAACGUAACUGACGCUGAUGCGCGAAAGCGUGGGGAGCAAACAGGAUUAGAUACCCCUGUAGUC
rnacentral:rRNA from 1 species